rnacentral:rRNA from 1 species
CUGGCGGCAUGCCUAUACAUGCAAGUCGAACGGGAAGCCCUUCGGGGUUUCUAGUGGCGAACGGGUGAGUAAUACGUAAGGAACUUGCCCUGGAGUCGAGGAUAACCACGGGAAACUGUGGCUAAUACUGGAUAGGACAUUCACCCGCAUGGGAGAAUGUUUAAAGGCGCUUUCGGGCGUCGCCGCAGGAGAGCCUUGCGCAGCAUUAGCUAGUUGGUAGGGUAACGGCCUACCAAGGCGAUGAUGCCUAGCUGGACUGAGAGGUCGAACAGCCACACUGGGACUGAGACACGGCCCAGACUCCUACGGGAGGCAGCAGUAGGGAAUUUUCGGCAAUGGGCGAAAGCCUGACCGAGCAAUGCCGCGCGAACGAUGAAGGUCUUCGGAUCGUAAAGUUCUGUUGUUAGGGAAGAACAGGUUUGUGAGGAAAUGCGCAGGCCUUGACGGUACCUAACCAGAAAGCUCCGGCUAACUACGUGCCAGCAGCCGCGGUAAUACGUAGGGAGCGAGCGUUAUCCGGAAUUAUUGGGCGUAAAGCGUGCGUAGGCGGCUUCUUAAGUCGAACGUGAAAUACCACGGCUUAACCGUGGNAGGGUCGUUCGAAACUGGGUUGCUAGAGUACGGCAGAGGUUAGUGGAAUGCAAUGUGUAGCGGUAAAAUGCGUAGAUAUAUUGCGGAACACCAGUGGGCGAAGGCGGCUAACUGGGACCGGGAACUGACGCUGAGGCACGAAAGCGUGGGGGAGCAAACAGGNAUNAGAUACCCUGGUUAGUCCACGCCGU